rnacentral:tRNA from 1 species
UUAGUUGAAACCAAAAAGAGGUAACUUAAUGUUAAUAAGAAAAUUGAAUUUAAUAUUCCAACUAAA